GACGAACCGUGCGAACGUUGUUCGGAAUCACUGGGCUUAAAGGGCGCGUAGGUGGUUUGCCAAGUCGGGGUUGAAAUCUUUCGGCUUAACCGGAAAAGUGGCUUCGAUACUGGCAAGCUGGAGGGAGGUAGGGGCGGAUGGAACUUCCGGUGGAGCGGUGAAAUGUGGUUGAUAUCGGAAGGAACGCCGGUGGCGAAAGCGAUCCGCUGGACCUCUUCUGACACUGAGGCGCGAAAGCCAGGGGAGCAAACGGGAUUAGAA
rnacentral:rRNA from 1 species